UAAGAAAUAAGCCAUCAUUUAAGCCAUCAUAAAAAUGAAUUCAUAUAUAUAUUUAAUAAUCUAGGUUAGAAUAUAACAUCACUGACCAAGAGACAGAUGAAUAAGACCUGUUUGGGCAGAGAGUUGUCAAAAACACUGAUAACAACUGGAGUCUCUUAGAUCAAAAGGGUUGUUUAGUAUAAACAACAGAUUCUGGGGAAAUAGCCAGAAGCAUCAGAGUAACCAGGUUAAACAGUUUGCCCUGAGGCAAUGGAGAUGUGACGUAACUAUGAUAUCAUCAUAAUGUGUAAACGAAGGCUGACUAUAUAUAAUGCAAAGAGCUGGUCAUAAAAUAUGGUAUGAGAUCGAGCGAUUAUGGAUCAAAAGCCUUCCGUUGCAUAUUGUGCGGGAAACAUUUGUUACUAAAACAAGAAACUUGGAUCCACUCAGGUUUCUGUUUCACCUGUUUAACCAGAUGUUUUAUGGGGGAUGAGGCUCUAAACAGUAUAAAAAGGGAGACCAAAAUGCAGUCUGGAGUUCUGUUUUGGGGAACAGGCCUCUGUGUACAGGGUCUACCUCUAAACAGGAACUCUGCAGGCCGAGAGACUGAAUUACUGUCCCAGGAUUGGGUAGAAAAAUACAG